CAUUUGAAAACCACAAUCCAAAAAAUACUGUACAGUGUGUUGGCGCUUCUAAUAAUACAAAUAAGGGUGUGUAGAAGGUAUCACCUUAAAUGUACACAUAAGUGAAAAACAAAACAAACAAACAUUCCAUCUUUCAGUGAGUACACACAAAAUAUACUUAUGUACAAGCUGCGAUGGACAGCAUUCUAUAAAUAUCUGUAGGACACAAAAAAGGACAAAACAUAGUGUAUUCUUUAUAAAAAAUAUAAAUAGUAGAUCACAGGAAAUAAAACUCAUGACAAGUAAAAAGUUGUGCCAGGCUCUAGGACGUAAGCUUCAAGGUACCUCUACAGGCUUGGAAUCCCACUUGGUCAGGAACCACGGGAAUCUUGCAGAUACACAUAUAUGGUGUUCUUUAUUCAAUAACAUAUUAAAGCAUAUAGAAAAUAAAAAAUAUAUAAUCGGACUAGAAGAAAAAGCAUAGGCAGUGUAAAGCAAGCUAACAAGAAUUGUCAGUUCGGAUGGAGAGCCCCAGAAGCAGCAAAUGCGUUUCGACACCAUGAUCUUCAGUGCUUAAACAGGAACUUGUGAACACCCACUCACCAGCAUUAAAGAAUAAUGGCCAUUAUGGGCAUUGCCAGUGAUGCAAGUUGCCCACCCACUGUGCCGAUUCCCACAUUAAAGGAGGGAAUUGUUUGAAGGCAGAACUUUAAACAUCAAUUAUAAAGAUAAGCCAAUUAGGUAAAUAAAAUACAAUGUUAUUCCAAAAUCAAGCUGGUUGUUGUUUUAUUUGUAAUCCAAACUGGUUAAAAGGAAUGACUGAAUCCUGGGUCAGGUUGGCAACAAGUAAGGCAAAUCUGAAGCAUAACAGCAGUAUCUAAAGUUCAGUAUUGGUCAACAACGAGUAAGGAUAUGUACAAAGUUCCAAUUCAGGUCGGCAACAAUUAAGGUUAUAUAUAUAUAAGCAGGGCCGGAUUAACAUAGGGACUGAUGGCGCUGCA